AGUAAAGUCAGCUAAAUAAGCUCUUGGGCCCAUACCCCAAACAUGUUGGUUAGACUCCUUCCUUUGCUA
rnacentral:tRNA from 1 species